AAAAUCUACGACCUGGGAAAGGAAAGAGCCAGUUGAGGAAAAGCCCUUUGUCCCUUCUUUGUUUAUAUCUCCAACUUCCCGAUUUUUCCUGUGGCUGUGAUGGCCAGGAUGUGGCAGCCCUCUGGUUAUAACAGUGUCACAAAUCCUUCAUUGAGGCUGCCUUGCAACCCAAGCUCUGCCUCUCUCCAAUCCUCUCUUUCCCUCCCUUCAUAGGUGCAGAUGCUGAGAGCACUUUCUAGUCAAGUCCUGCAUGUUCAUUUCUGUCUCAAGUCAGCUUCUCUGAGAAUCCAAUUUAUAAAAAUAUAUUUGUGAAUGUAUAAGUAAAGUGACUUGGAUUUUGUCUACGUACAAGGACUUCUAUGCCUGCAUAAAACAGUCUGACUGGUUGGAAGAGGCCCUUUUCCCAGCCUUUGUGAAAGAGAUCUUCAUGUAAACAGAGUCCCUCUUAUUGGCUGAAGUGAAGAGUCAUUCUGAGGCAUCUCAAGAUGAAGGUUUCCUAUUUGUGAUUAUGAAAAAAAUGUCAAGAACAAGUCCCUUGGUGUUCUUAGACCAAAGUCAGAACAACAGACCUAAUUCUUUGGUAAUUUUCCUGUGGCAUAUCUUCAAGGAACUCAAAGAGACUCUGUGGAUGGUAAGGUUUCUGAUUUCUUACGUGUUAGCAAAUAGUCAAGCGCCUGUUUGAUCAGAUCCAUUAUCUUCUAUCUUACAAUGUUGUCUAGCCCACAAUGAUAGCUAAUGACAAUCAGAACUUUAGCCUUUAAAGGGAAAUGACUUUAGCUUUUAUAUUUUCAGGUUUUUAUCUUUAGUUUUUGUUCCAACAUUUUAUCAUAAUGUUUAUAGGGAUGGGUCUUUUAUUGCCAUCAGUUUUUCUGUUGCUGAAUGUUCAAAGGCCCCAUUCAAUUUAAAGAUACUUUUUAUUCUUCAGCUCUAGAAAAUGUUCUUUUAUUAUGAUUAUUUGUUAUAUAAUUUUCUUCUUUCCUUCUAGAACUCGUUCUUGAGAAAUAGUGGAAAUUUUGGGUCUAUAUUCUAUGCCUUUAAAAUUAUUUUUUUGCAUCACCGUGAGCCAAGAUCAUCUCCUCAUCCCAAGAUCCUUAACUAAAUCAUAUCUGCAAAGACCUUUUUUUCCACCUGAGGUAAUAUUUACAGGUUCCAGACCUAGUAUCUUUGAGGGUCUUUAUUCAGUUUCAUAAGGGCCCUUUUUGCUCCUUCUGAUUGUAGACCCUGAGGCUGGAAUGUUAUUAUGCGCCAAAAGUCAUGACGUUGUCCUCAUCCAUCUGAUCCAGCUUUGCUCGGCUUUCUCACGUUCUCCACCCUUUCUCCUUUUUCCCCGCCAUUUUGCUUCCUUUUCCCACCCAUUCAAUCUUUCCAAGCACUUACCUCUUUUCCUUUUUCUUUUCCACUCCCCCUUUCUCUCCUCCUUCCUUCACCACCUUCUUCUUUCCCCUCACUUUUACCUUCUUUCCCUUCCUUCUUUCCUUUCUGCAUUCUUUUCCCCUCUACUCCUCCUCAUCUCCUUGGUGCCUCCCCUCCACCUUCUCAUUCCCCCUUUCCCAUCCUUCUUCCACUUCCCUUACAUCAUAUUCUCCUUCUCACAGGUUUUCUCUGCCUAAUAUCUCUACAGCUCCAAUCAAAUAUUCUCACCUUGAACCACAUCAGGAAUUCUUCAUCAUUUCUGGUUUGCUGAAUUUAUUUUUUGUUCUUGCUUUCUAGGAUCUUGAUUCAUUUAAUUGUAAAAAAGAAAAAUCAAUUUCUGAAGUUACAUUAAGUUUUUGCAGGUUGGCUGGACACGGUGGCUCACACCCAUAAUCCCAGCAUUUUGGGAGGCCGAGGUGGGCAGAUCACUUGAUGUCAGGAGUUCCAGACCAGCCCGGCCAACAUGGUGAAACCCCCUCUCUACAAAAAUUACAAAAAUUAGCCAGGGGUGGUGGUGCCUGCCUGUAGACCCAGCCACUUGGGAGGCUGAAGCAGGAGAAUCACUUGAACCCAGGAGGCAGAGGUUGCAGCAAGCCAAGAUCAUGCCACUGCACUCCAGCCUGGGCGACAGAGUGAGACUCCAUAUCAAAAAAAAAAAAGUUUUUGGAGUAAGGAAUAAUAUUCUUUACAAUUUUAAUACCUGGAAAUGCCUUUUUAUUUACGAUAUUUCUUUAGACUGUGAACCUCUCAUAGGAAAGACUCUUCCAUAUUUGUUUUUAUUUACUUAAUGCCCAGCACAUGGUGUUACUCUUACAUGUUUCUGAAAUGCAUGUCAUUGUGGAUUUUGUGUAAUGAAAUGCAUAUGGUUAUUUUAACUGAUCACUCAAGUUGAUUAGACUGCCACAUCCCACGCAAAAAGAGGGUGCUCAGAAAGCCAGUGAUUGGAUAAUAAUUUGAGAAUACUCAAGUUUCUAGUAGUCCUAAUCGGUUGAACCUAAAAAUGCCAUUAACCCUUUCUCAAAGAAGCAGAUUGGAGGUGAGUAGCAGUUGUGUGGCUUUUUGGUAUGCAGCUGUUCACUUUCAAAACUUAAUUUAAAACAAUAAAAAAUAGACCUCGAAAUCAUUUUGUUUCCCUAUUUAUUUAAUGUGAUUUAUUCUAAAUGUGUUUCAUAUCACCAUAAUGUAUCGGAGCUCAACCACCACCUGUUAUUUUGUAGGGGAAAUAAACAAGACCUCUCUCAUCAGAUGAGUUAAUUACACUGACAUAUUCACUCCUCCCCAGAGAUACCAUAAACUAAAAUGCUGCAAAGCUUUAAUUCAAACAAGCAGGCUGGAAACAAGAGCUAUUGCAGUGGUAUAAUUUUCUUUGGGAGAAUCAAAAGCUCAACACAGACUUGAACUUCAGGGGCAAAAUAGCUGGAGUUGAUCAAAUGGAGGCUUGUCUAGGGUCGCAUAAUAAAUCUGUAGGUGAGUUGAGCUUGAACCCAUUUCUCAAUAUUAUGGCACUAUUUUCCAACCUUUGUGCUUCUGAGCAUCAUGUGGUCAUUUUUAAAACUUGUUUCAUCCCGUCAUUUCUCCCUCCUCUCAGGUAUUUGUCUGGGGCUGGCUGUGCACCCAGAAGGCCAUUCGUUCCAUGAAGAACAUGACAGAGGUACCUGGUCCUACCUGGAUUCUUGGGCAUGCGGGCAGCAGCAGCAGCAGCAGCCACAGUGAACUUCAUCCUAAGGAAAUUAAGCACACGUUGCGUGAGGCUGCUGUGGGGGUGCCAGGUGCUGAGGUUUCUGUAGUGGAUAAAACACAAAAAUACCAGCCCUCAUGGUGAAAAUGGAAUGACAAUAAACAAGAUAAAUUAGAUCUAUGCAACAAAACCAAGCCUUUGUGCACAUCUGUGGUUGUGACCAGUUGGAGAGACAUUAGGAGAUGAGAUACUAUGUUCACUCCUCACAGCUGUACCAGGGACCUGAGAUAUUCCGUCACUAUUCUAUGAAUGGUCUGGCUUGAUGAUAUCCAACCUGACGUGGCCUGAAGAGACAGACAGUGGCUCUUGCUAGCUAAUUAUUGUCAGAUGGAUCGGCAGCCGACCAACGCUUCUGAAACUAUUGUUUUUGGCAAAUGUUCCUCAACAUUUUCCUGGGAGCUAUGGUGCAUUACUCACGAGUGACAGAACCAACGAGCUUCAUCUCCCAAGAGGCUGGUGCAUCUGUUUAAAGGAGCAGGCACUAGGCAGAGCAGCCCCCACCCCACCCUCCAUGGCAGAGUGCAGUGGGGGAAGGGAUGGGAUUUCACCAUGUUGUCCAAGCUGGUUUUGAACUCCUGGGGUCAAGAAAUCCACCUGCUUCGGCCUCCCACAGUGCUGGGAUUACAGGUGUGAGCCCCUGCACCCAGCCUAAUUAAGUUUUGAAUAUCUUAUCCCUAUCAAUGACUUGUCUUUUCAUUCCUCUAACGUUCUUAAUUUUGAUCAAGUCCAAUUUAUCUUUUCUCUCCUUUAUAGAUUGUGCUUUUGGUGUUACAUCUAAGAAAUCUUUGCUUUUGAUUAUUUUAAAAAUUGAUUUUCUCAUCAAGUAAAAGAAAAUGUACUUUCAAGUUCCUUUAAGUAUAUCCACGUUGCCUAGGCAACCAAGUUAUUUAUCAAUAGGUGAUCAUUUGUAAUGAUUUGUUAAUAAAGG
rnacentral:lncRNA from 10 species